CAGCCUCUAAUAAUUUUAAUAAGAAUAUUUCGUUUCCACCUUGUUGUUUGUAGUCGCAGUCUAUAUGAAACCUACUUGGAAUACUGUUUAAUCUACAGCAAAGUUUCAGAAAACGUGACGGCAAACCACUGCAGAAGAAACUGUCUCCAACUAAGCAUCGCGCAUGAACGUGCUUAACAACAAGAUUUUUACGGCAGAACCCAAACCGCAAAUUUCGAAUAGUGUUUCGAGGUAGGCUAUACCAGUUUUUGACAAAUAUAGUAGCUAAUUCGUGUUUUAAUUUUAACGCACAAAAUCUUC